rnacentral:rRNA from 1 species
UAGGGGAUUUUGCGCAAUGGGCGAAAGCCUGACGCAGCAACGCCGCGUGAGGGAAGACGGCUUUCGGGUUGUAAACCUCUUUUAGCAGGGACGAACACAAUGACGGUACCUGCAGAAAAAGCACCGGCUAACUACGUGCCAGCAGCCGCGGUAAUACGUAGGGUGCAAGCGUUAUUCGGAUUUAUUGGGCGUAAAGCGCAUGUAGGCGGUUCGGUAAGUCUGGUGUGAAAGCCCUCGACUCAAUCGAGGAAGUGCAUUGGAUACUGUCGAACUGGAGUACAGGAGGGGUGAGCGGAAUUCCAGGUGUAGAGGUGAAAUUCGUAGAUAUCUGGAGGAACAACAGCGGCGAAGGCGGCUCACUGGACUGUAACUGACGCUCAGAUGCGAUAGUGUGGGGAGCAAACAG